rnacentral:lncRNA from 1 species
GAUGCGCAGCACGAGAGCAAAGGGCGGUUACCCAACGGCCUUCGCUCUCAUGGCGUCCUCCUUGAUGUUACCUAAAAAUAAAACCAAGGGUGAUUAGAAGGAUUUAAACCUCAGACACAGGGAGCUGACCUAUUCACCUUAGAAUCCUCUGGGGCACCCAUUACAGUGUCUGUACCAAGGAGGCAACAAAGAACGGCAGAACAGACUGGAGCAGAAGGACAACCCAGCAGAGCCAAGCCAAAUCACUGACCCUCAGAGGCCUGAUGUGAAUGCUUCUGGCUUCAGUCCAUUGGAUUCUGCAGUAAUCUGCCGAUCUACAGUAUUACCACAGUAAAUAACCGAUAGACCUGAAAACGAAUGCAUGCCUCGUGCCAAAAUUGCAGGAAACCUCACCAGCAGAAACAAUUUUAUAUGAGGGAAUGUACUCUCUCCUUUGCAUUUUUCCUCAAAUCUAUAUUUUUAGCCCCUCACUUGUCUCUACAGAGCCUCAGUUGCUUAAUCUAAUUGCUGACUGAACAUCUCCAGGAAACUGUGUUGAGCACAACAUUUUACCCACGUGCCUGAUGGACAGGCCAAGCUGAAUGGAAGACUUCUGAGGCACUGGAGCAGAAGGGAAAACUUGCACAUGGUCACAAAGGACUUCACACUGUUCCAUCCCCUCUACUGCCAUCCAAGAGGCCUCUUGACUCUUCCAGAAUCAGAUGUAAAAGACAAGGUGUCAACGGAGGAUAGAUGUUUUCUCCUAUUAUACUGUGAAGGAAUGGGUGGAAGAAUUUUGAUAUGCUUCUU